ACGAACGUUGGCCGCCGUGGAUUAGGCAUGCAAGUCGAACGAAUCCCGGCCCCGACAAGGGCCGGGGGGAAGUGGCGAAAAGGGGCAGAUAAGGCGUGGGGUAACCUGCCCGGGGGACGGGGAUAGCCCUCCUAACGGAAGGGGUAAUACCGCGGCGAGACGUAGAGCGAGGGGCAUCCCCGCUCUACCAAACGAGUUUCGCCCCCGGAGGGGCUCACGUAGGUAUUAGCUAGACGGGCGGGGUGACGGCCCACCGUGGCCAAGAUGCCUAGCGGGUGUGAGAGCACGGACCCACGCCACUGGCACUGGAGACACUGGGCCAGACUCCAUACGGGAGGCUGCAGCCGAGGAUCUUCGGCAAUGGGCGCAAGCCUGACCGAGCGACGACCGCGAGCGCGGAUGAAGGGCCCUCGGGUUGUAAAGCGCUGUCGGGGGGGAGGAAGGCGCAAGCUUGACCGACCCCCGGAGGAAGCACGGGCUAAGUUCGUGCCAGCAGCCGCGGGUAAGACGAACCGUGCGAACGUUGUUCGGAAUCACUGGGCUUAAAGGGCGCGUAGGCCGGGUCCGCACGCCCGGGGUGAAAGCCCCCGGCUCAACCGGGGAAGGGCCUCGGGUACGGCGGACCUCGAGGGGGGCAGGGGCGCGCGGAACUUCCGGUGGAGCGGUGAAAUGCGUAGAGAUCGGAAGGAACGCCGGUGGCGAAAGCGGCGCGCUGGGCCCGCCCUGACGCUGAGGCGCGAAAGCCAGGGGGCGGAGGGCGAAACGGGGAUUAGAUACCCCGGUAGUCCUGGCCCUAAACGAUGGGCACUAGGGUCGCGGGCCGCACGGCUCGCAGCCGAAGCCAAAGUGCUAAGUGCCCCGCCUGGGGAGUAUGGUCGCAAGGCUGAAACUCAAAGGAAUUGACGGGGGCUCACACAAGCGGUGGAGCAUGUGGCUUAAUUACGAGGCUACGCUGAAGAACCUUAUCCUGGGCUUGACAUGUCCAAAAGGGCGGGAAGUAAGCUUGCGGAAACGUAAAGCGGCCGGUUACCCCAGCCCGGUACCCGCCACAGGUUGCCGCAUGGCUGUCGUCAGCUCGUGUCGUGAGAUGUCGGGUUAAGUCCCAUAACGAGCGAAACCCUUGCCUCCAGUUUGCCAGCGGGUCAGCGACCGGGGACUCCUGGAGGGACUGCCGGUGUCAAACCGGAGGAAGGCGGGGAUGACGUCAAGUCCUCAUGGCCUUUAUGCCCAGGGCUGCACACGUGCUACAAUGGCGCGCACAGAGGGAAGCGAACGCGCGAGCGGGAGGCCAAUCCCAAAAAACGCGCCCCAGUUCCAGAUCGAAGGCUGCAGCUCGCCUUCGUGAAGUUGGAAUCGCUAGUAAUCGACGGGGUCAGCAACACCCCGCGGUGAUAGUAGUUCCUGAGCCUUGUACACACCGCCCGUCAAGCCACGAAAGGGGGGGGCGCCCGAAGUCGCACGUGCCAACCGCAAGGGGGCAGGCGCCGAAGGCGAGACCCCUGAUAUGGGACU
rnacentral:rRNA from 1 species